AUGUUACUGUAACCGGGAGACUGGCUACUGAUUUGAAGUUGAGAACGAGCUGCAACCCACGACUGGUUGCAGAUGUUGGCGAUGCCAACAUUAGAUAAUGACUAGGAUCUAGUCACUUCCAUGUGAAUACUCGAUUUAACUCCACUUGUAGAAUUAUACACAAGUCCUGUGCAGUAGUUAACAAUUUAAUGAUUCAGGAUGGAAUACAUGUAGUUUUACAAAUUGAUGUACUUUUACAAAUUGAUACACAUUGAUACAAAUUGAGCGGAUGUUGUCAGUACGAAUGCCCGACUCUCACUGAAGUUAAAACUUCAGGAAACAUAUUUAAAUCUCGAAUUUACAUGGUAACAAUUACUUAAUAGAAACGAGAUUACAGAAUGACAAUGAAAUAAUACGAUAAGGAUUAACAAAAUAAUAUAACAAAUUCUGUCGUUUGAGCCUUAGGCUAAAUAGCGCCGUAAUUGAA
rnacentral:lncRNA from 1 species